GAUGAAGAACGCAGCGAAAUGCGAUACUUGGUGUGAAUUGCAGAAUCCCGUGAGCCAUCGAGUCUUUGAACGCAAGUUGCGCCCGAAGCCAUUAGGCCGAGGGCACGCCUGCCUGGGCGUCACACGUCGUUGCCCCCCCAUCUACUCCUUCGGGAUUGCGGGGGGCGGAUGAUGGCCUCCCGUGCGCCUCGUCGCGCGGUUGGCAUAAAUGCCAAGUCCUCGGCGACGCACGCCACGACAAUCGGUGGUUGCGAAACCUCGGUUGCCCGUCGUGUGCGGUCGUCGCGCAUCGAGGGCUCGAAAAAAUUGUCGGGCUCCGGCUCGGCUUUCAACGCGACCCCAGGUCAGGCGGGGUUACCCGCUGAAUUUAAGCAUAUCAAUAAGCGGAGGA
rnacentral:misc_RNA from 1 species